rnacentral:misc_RNA from 1 species
GUAUAAGGUUUUAAAGGCAUCGCUGCCAUUUAAAUGACAUUCUAUAACAUACAAUGGGGUGUAUUGAAAACAUAGACGCUGGGAAAACCAAGGGAAGCCGACCUCAAAAGAAGCCAGCAGACCCUCAAAAUCCAAGUUGCCUUGAGAGGUAAUAUCCCCCCAGCAUCUACAAAGGGUGCACAGGUGGUUGAGAUAAGAGUUUGAAAGGCGUGCACAUGCUCCGAAAAGCCAGCUUCAGCCUCCCAACUUAUUCAAUAAUGAUCCUUCCGCAGGUUCACCUACGGAAA